rnacentral:rRNA from 1 species
GAUGAACGCUGGCGGCGUGCCUAAUACAUGCAAGUCGAGCGAACAGAUGAGGAGCUUGCUCCUCUGACGUUAGCGGCGGACGGGUGAGUAACACGUGGAUAACCUACCUAUAAGACUGGGAUAACUUCGGGAAACCGGCGCUAAUACCGGAUAAUAUAUUGAACCGCAUGGUUCAAUAGUGAAAGACGGUUUUGCUGUCACUUAUAGAUGGAUCCGCGCCGCAUUAGCUAGUUGGUAAGGUAACGGCUUACCAAGGCAACGAUGCGUAGCCGACCUGAGAGGGUGAUCGGCCACACUGGAACUGAGACACGGUCCAGACUCCUACGGGAGGCAGCAGUAGGGAAUCUUCCGCAAUGGGCGAAAGCAUGACGGAGCAACGCCGCGUGAGUGAUGAAGGUCUUCGGAUCGUAAAACUCUGUUAUUAGGGAAGAACAAAUGUGUAAGUAACUAUGCACGUCUUGACGGUACCUAAUCAGAAAGCCACGGCUAACUACGUG